rnacentral:rRNA from 1 species
AUUGAACGCUGGCGGCAUGCCUUACACAUGCAAGUCGAACGGCAGCGCGUCCUUCGGGAUGGCGGCGAGUGGCGAACGGGUGAGUAAUACAUCGGAACGUGCCCGAGAGUGGGGGAUAACGCAGCGAAAGCUGUGCUAAUACCGCAUACGAUCUCAGGAUGAAAGCAGGGGACCGCAAGGCCUUGCGCUCACGGAGCGGCCGAUGGCAGAUUAGGUAGUUGGUGGGAUAAAAGCUUACCAAGCCGACGAUCUGUAGCUGGUCUGAGAGGACGACCAGCCACACUGGGACUGAGACACGGCCCAGACUCCUACGGGAGGCAGCAGGUGGGGUAAUUUUGGACAAUGGGGGGAACCCUGAUCCAGCCAUGCCGCGUGCAGGAUGAAGGCCUUCGGGUUGUAAACUGCUUUUGUACGGAACGAAAAGGUCUUUUCUAAUAAAGAAGGCUGAUGACGGUACCGUAAGAAUAAGCACCGGCUAACUACGUG